CUUUUGUAGAAUGAACCGGCGAGUUACGAUCUGAUGCAAGGUUAAGCAGAAAAUGUGGAGCCGUAGCGAAAGCGAGUCUGAAUAGGGCGAAUGAGUAUUUGGUCGUAGACCCGAAACCAGGUGAUCUACCCUUGGUCAGGUUGAAGUUCAGGUAACACUGAAUGGAGGACCGAACCGACUUACGUUGAAAAGUGAGCGGAUGAACUGAGGGUAGCGGAGAAAUUCCAAUCGAACUUGGAGAUAGCUGGUUCUCUCCGAAAUAGCUUUAGGGCUAGCCUCAAGUGAUGAUUAUUGGAGGUAGAGCACUGUUUGGACGAGGGGCCCCUCUCGGGUUACCGAAUUCAGACAAACUCCGAAUGCCAAAUAAUUUAACUUGGGAGUCAGAAUGUGGGUGAUAAGGUCCAUAUUCGAAAGGGAAACAGCCCAGACCACCAGCUAAGGUCCCAAAAUAUAUGUUAAGUGGAAAAGGAUGUGGCGUUGCCCAGACAACUAGGAUGUUGGCUUAGAAGCAGCCAUCAUUUAAAGAGUGCGUAAUA
rnacentral:rRNA from 1 species